rnacentral:rRNA from 1 species
UACAGGGGGUGCAAACGUUGCUCGGAAUUAUUGGGCGUAAAGCGCACGUAGGCGGUUCGUUAUGUCGGAUGUGAAAGCCCUUGGCUCAACUGAGGAAGUGCAUCCGAAACUGGCGGGCUAGAGUAUGUAAGAGGGUCGCGGAAUUCCCGGUGUAGAGGUGAAAUUCGUAGAUAUCGGGAGGAACACCGGUGGCGAAGGCGGCGACCUGGGACAAUACUGACGCUGAGGUGCGAAAAGCGUGGGGGAGCAAAACAGG